CGCUGGCGGCAUGCCUUACACAUGCAAGUCGAACGGCAGCAUGGAGGAGCUUGCUCCUCUGAUGGCGAGUGGCGAACGGGUGAGUAAAGCAUCGGAACGUGCCGUGUAGUGGGGGAUAACGUAGCGAAAGUUACGCUAAUACCGCAUACGCACCGAGGUGGAAAGCAGGGGAUCGCAAGACCUUGCGCUAUACGAGCGGCCGAUGUCAGAUUAGCUAGUUGGUAGGGUAAAGGCCUACCAAGGCGACGAUCUGUAGCGGGUCUGAGAGGAUGAUCCGCCACACUGGGACUGAGACACGGCCCAGACUCCUACGGGAGGCAGCAGUGGGGAAUUUUGGACAAUGGGGGAAACCCUGAUCCAGCCAUGCCGCGUGAGUGAAGAAGGCCUUCGGGUUGUAAAGCUCUUUCGGCUGGGAAGAAAUCGCACAGGCUAAUACUCUGUGUGGAUGACGGUACCAGCACAAGAAGCACCGGCUAACUACGUG
rnacentral:rRNA from 1 species